CUUAAGUGAUGAAAUGAUAAUGAUUCGGAACAGGACACUGUCUGUGUGUGGUCACUGGAUCAGGGUCACGUUCUGUGUCUCUGGAUUCAAUUCCCCACAGCAGCGUGUUCUUCAGUUGAAGACAGAGGCAUUUGUCUGAGAAGG